rnacentral:rRNA from 1 species
UACAGAGGUCUCAAGCGUUGUUCGGAUUCAUUGGGCGUAUAGGGUGUGUAGGUGGCGCGCUAAGUCGGGUGUGAAAUUUCGGAGCUUAACUCCGAAACUGCAUUCGAUACUGGCGUGCUUGAGGACUGGAGAGGAGACUGGAAUUCAUGGUGUAGCAGUGAAAUGCGUAGAGAUCAUGAGGAAGACCAGUGGCGAAGGCGGGUCUCUGGACAGUUCCUGACACUGAGACACGAAGGCCAGGGGAGCAAACGGG